UACGAAGGGGGCUAGCGUUGCUCGGAAUCACUGGGCGUAAAGCGCACGUAGGCGGAUUGUUAAGUUAGGGGUGAAAUCCCAGGGCUCAACCCUGGAACUGCCUUUAAUACUGGCAAUCUCGAGUCCGAGAGAGGUGAGUGGAAUUCCGAGUGUAGAGGUGAAAUUCGUAGAUAUUCGGAGGAACACCAGUGGCGAAGGCGGCUCACUGGCUCGGUACAGACGCUGAGGUGCGAAAGCGUGGGGAGCAAACAGG
rnacentral:rRNA from 1 species